rnacentral:tRNA from 2 species
GGAGGGGUCGCAUAGUGGUCUAGUGCGGCGGUCUUGAAAACCGCUAUGUCUAAAUGGCAUCGCGAGUUCGAAUCUCGCCCCCUCCGCAA